GGCUCUUACAGCAGGCUUGCUGAGCAGAGGCAGAAACAGAAGUCUUUGGCUGCAACCCUCUCAGUGAGAACAUUGUGGCUCCUCAGUUCCCACGAAAGGGUGACCCGGAGGAGAAGACUGUGGCCCCUUAGGUGACCCCGAGUCCUCCAGCGUCACGUGUCAUCAAGGUGUGAGCUGGAACACACUUCUAGCGGCUCAGCCGCACCCAUCCAUUACGUGGUUCCUUCUCCUGGUGGUACCCUGCAUAGCUGCCAAAUGUUUGUAAUCCUCCAUUCCUGAAAUCAUGAGAAGUCUCUGAAGAGUAUAGUGUUAGCCUCUUACAAAGAAGAAACCAUCACUGCGGGGAACUUCAGAGAACUGCGUAAAGAUCACUGGCCGAGAGCCUUUGUGACAACAAUCAGCUGGAAUUUCUAGAUGGUGAUUUUUCCACUCUGCAUAUCCUGAGAACAGGAGGGAAGGUACACUCCCAGGAGAGAGCUGGUCAGAGCAAUCACAGGCGGCUCUGGGAAAGGAGCACAUUCCAUGGAGAAGCAAAAUGGAAAGAGCAAUAAUCCAGGGAAAGAAGGACCUGAGAGAGAGGGGGGCCUGAGCCACGCAGACCAAAAAUCUGACAACUCUGAUACAGUAGCUGCUUAGAAACAAGGCAUACACCCAGGUAGAUUUGUGGCUUAAAAUACCAACAGGUUGAACAAGAAGCAACACAAUGAUGUGAAUUAACGUGCACCGAAGUGUAUGAACCUGACUGCAGGUCCUUCUGAAGGUAGAGAAACUGGGGGAUGAGGUGGUGAGGAGGAACCCCACUGAGCAGGUGCAGGGCACCAGCAGGGCAGGCUGGAGGUAAAGGUAAGCCUCAUCCAUCUAAUGAAACUUCCCGGCGCUGGUCUUGCUGAAACGGAGCACCAGCUGACAGCAACCCAUGCUGUAUCACAUUAAAAGGGACUUGUUACAAAUGGGCUACUCUAUCUGCUCAGCUACAUUACCCAUAAAGUCAAGGGGGGAUGCUACCUGAUUCUGAGUAGGCAUUAGGGUUCUGUCUAUUACCAGCAGGUCACAUUAAACAAAACCUCAAACGUACAUAGAUGCUGAAUUAUUAGAGCUCAAAGGACAGGUAACGAUGUUGGUAAAAUUUCAAUACACUCCCAAUUAACCCGUCAUUGUCCCCUGGGUGGCCCCUGCAAAUAUAAAUUAUAGACCUCAGGAUAAGGUGACAGAUGCCAAAGGAUCAGGUCAUCAGCCAAAAAAUGGGCAGAACUCCAAAUAGAUAUCACAUUGGAUUCAACUUACCGUAUUUGGUUUUCACUUUACAAACACACCAGCUAAUGUGUCUCUUUUCACAAGUGGAUUUCAUAUCUAUCCUUCCAGACCCAACUCCUACGCCACAAUCUCUUGAGAGGACAAUAAGUAAAGAAACCAAUCAACAGAAAGAUGAUUUGGGAUCCUAAUAAGUGUUAUGGAAAAAAAAAUAAAAACCGGCAAUGGGAUGAAGAGUGAUUUCAAGGAAUGACAAUGUAGCAUCUGGGACUGUACAUUUCAGCUGAGAGCUACUUGAAGAGAAGGAGCCAGUCAUGCAAAGAUCUGCAAGGGGAGAGAAUCAGAAGAGGCCUGAAACUAAAGCAAUGUCUGUUACUGGUGAGGGUAGACACUUGGGAGGGCUGUAGAGGGAGAUGCUAGAGCUGGUUAAUUGCUAAUUGUCUCUCCUCCAUGUAAAUCAGAGCAGGGUGCCAACUUCCCCCCCUCACUGUGCAUAUUCUUUUUGUUACCAUUUUUAUUUUCUUAAUUCUGCUCCCUGAUUUUCAUUAAAUUACAAGAACAUGACCCUCUUUGAGCAGCAAACACAUCUGGAGCCCUCUUCUAACCCCUUAUCAUAUAAAACACCAAAUUAAAGCCAUCGGAAAAUAGAAGCUGAGAGUAUUAAGAUUUAGCUUUCAUUAUUAUGAGGUUCAUUCAACUAAUGUUUAUCUUUAUGACCAUUACAUCUCAUUAUCAUUACCGAUCAUAGGCAGAAGCUAAGUUAUAAACUCAUGAUUUGUUUCUUUCCAUAUUAUCUUAAUCGAAGUCCUAUUAUGGGGUAAAUAGCUUUAGCAAAGCUGCAUAUUUAACUAUACACUAACAUAAAAAAACCAGCA